rnacentral:rRNA from 1 species
AACGAACGCUGGCGGCAGGCUUAACACAUGCAAGUCGAGCGGGCGCCUUCGGGCGUCAGCGGCGGACGGGUUAGUAACGCGUGGGAACGCGCCCUCUUCUACGGAAUAGCCUCGGGAAACUGAGAUUAAUACCGUAUGCGCCCGGAGACGGGGAAAGAUUUAUCGGAGGAGGACCGGCCCGCGUCCGAUUAGGUAGUUGGUGGGGUAACGGCUCACCAAGCCGACGAUCGGUAGCUGGUUUGAGAGGAUGAUCAGCAACACUGGGACUGAGACACGGCCCAGACUCCUACGGGAGGCAGCAGUGGGGAAUCUUGGACAAUGGGGGCAACCCUGAUCCAGCCAUGCCGCGUGGACGAUGAAGGCCUUAGGGUUGUAAAGUCCUUUCGCCAGGGAAGAUAAUGACGGUACCUGGUAAAGAAGCCCCGGCUAACUCCGUGCCAGCAGCCGCCGUAACAC